rnacentral:snoRNA from 1 species
UCCCCCGGCAAUGGGCAAAGAGACCCCUUGGUGGGGGUGGGGGUAGUCCUCUAUUAGUCAGGGGCAGAGCAGAUGGCAGUCCUUUGGUCAUCCUAGUUUGGUGCCUAGCUUGGUGACCAAAGGUGUUUCAUGCCUAGGGCACAUAA